rnacentral:rRNA from 1 species
UGGGGAAUCUUGCGCAAUGGACGAAAGUCUGACGCAGCCACGCCGCGUGAGUGAAGAAGGCCUUCGGGUUGUAAAGCUCUGUCGGGCGGGACGAAAAGCAUAUGGGUUAACAGCCCAUGUGCCUGACGGUACCGCCAAAGGAAGCACCGGCUAACUUCGUGCCAGCAGCCGCGGUAAUACGAGGGGUGCAAGCGUUGCUCGGAAUUAUUGGGCGUAAAGGGUAGGUAGGUGGUCUCAUUUGUCUGGGGUGAAAGCCUUGAGCUUAACUCAAGAAGUGCCCCGGAAACGGUGAGACUAGAGUCUUGGAGAGGGUCGUGGAAUUCCCGGUGUAGCGGUGAAAUGCGUAGAGAUCGGGAGGAACACCAGAGGCGAAGGCGGCGACCUGGACAAGUACUGACACUCAACUACGAAAGCGUGGGGAGCAAACAGGAUUAGAUACCCCCGUAGUCC